rnacentral:lncRNA from 1 species
UUAAUUCUUGGUUGAACUAGAUUUGAACCUGUACUAGGGUUAACCGCAGAAUCUACACUUUUCCCCUCUUGAUGCGCUUGCAUUUGCAAAAAUCUAGUCUUAUCACUAGGGUGUAUUUUUAUGUGUCUAGUCAAACUAUCCGUGCCGCUACGGUCUCCAGUAAAUUUAUGAAUCAGUGAGUUCCCACAAGUUUUACACUUAGCUUUAUUUAGUUCUCUUACUUGAGUAAAAAUAUUCCAAACUAAUGAUGUUUCUUGACGUUUAGCAGGUUGUCUAUUAAAAGUGGAGUUUCUACAGGUGGGUCGGCCGAUGCAUUACUUGAGUUAUUAACAGGACUAGUAGGUGUAUCAUCUAAAUCUGGUGCUUGGGUUUCAUCAUCAUCAUCAUCAUCCUCAUUUUCCUCUAAGAUAGGUUCAUUAGGAUAAAGAGCAUUCAUAAUUUCAUUAUCUAAUCAAUCACCUACUGCAACAUCAUGUAGAAAUUCACUAUCAGUAAAUUGAAAACAAGGGUGAUCACUAUCAAGAAUUACGGAAGGACGAGGAGGACGUCUAGGUUGGCGACUACUUU